GGACUCUGACAAGUACUGGAGGAGUGGGAAAAAGUGGACUUAAGUAGGAGUGAGAGGAGGGGGGAGAAAGCAACUAGGUGGUGUAGGGCUCAGAGAUUCACUCAGCUGGAAUACCUACCCUAAAUCUGAGAGCUGUGGUGAGUGCUCUCUGGGAAACAUAUAUGCUGAGUAAAAGGAUGGUGUCCAGCUCUGAUUUGCAUUAUGUUUUAUUUCAGAAGGUGUGGAACUGAGGCAGGAGCCAACCAGAGACCUGCAUCUAUGGAUAUGGUUGCUGGUGGCUGCUUAUUUCAGAAGGAAAACUGAGAUAUCGGCUGUCCCUCAAAGGCAUUGGUUACAACUUGUUUGUAAGCAGACAGCUGUCAAUUGCACGAGAGCUUUCUGUGAAAGAGGACCUGCUGAGCUUUUGUAGAUCAUGUGAUACAUGUUGAAGAUGGAAUCUAAACACAUGAGAAAUUUCUGGACAAUAUCUUUCUGAACACCUGAACUCCAUCAGGAAUCAAACAGAAGGCCAAGAAAGGCCCGGAGUCAAAGGGCUUCUGGUGCUGAAUUCACAGCUUCGCCCCAGACUCUGCUCUGACUUGCUGCAAUUGCCAGGAAGUCGGGAGGGGAGUGUGUCCCAGAGAGUGCAGGAAGGCAGAGCUUCUGCUGCCUUGUGUCACCAUGCUCACAGUAAAAGAGAAAAGAGGAGGCCAGCUUUACUCUGCUAG
rnacentral:lncRNA from 1 species